rnacentral:rRNA from 1 species
UUGGUCCUACGGGAGGCAGCAGUGGGGAAUAUUGCACAAUGGGGGGAACCCUGAUGCAGCAACGCCGCGUGAAGGAAGAAGUAAUUCGUUAUGUAAACUUCUAUCGACAGGGAAGAAAGAAAUGACGGUACCUGAAUAAGAAGCCCCGGCUAAUUACGUGCCAGCAGCCGCGGUAAUACGUAAGGGGCAAGCGUUAUCCGGAUUUACUGGGUGUAAAGGGAGCGUAGACGGCAUAGCAAGUCUGAAGUGAAAGCCCGU